GACAGAGGGUGCGAACGUUGCUCGGAAUUACUGGGCGUAAAGCGCGUGUAGGCGGACUGGUAAGUCGGACGUGAAAUCCCUGGGCUCAACCCAGGAACUGCAUCCGAAACUAUCAGUCUGGAGUGGUGGAGAGGAAAGCAGAAUUCCUGGUGUAGAGGUGAAAUUCGUAGAUAUCAGGAGGAACACCGGUGGCGAAGGCGGCUUUCUGGACACUAACUGACGCAUGAGACGGC
rnacentral:rRNA from 1 species